rnacentral:tRNA from 1 species
GGGAAGGUGGCUCAGUGGUAGAGCGCUUGCUUUGCAUGCUCGAGGCCCUGGGUUCGAUUCCGCAGCCCCA